CUCAGUGGUUUUAAACAGCCGCGGUAAUUUGACCGUGCGAAGGUAGCAUAAUCAUUUGCCUUGUAAUUUGGGGCUUGUAUGAAUGGAUUUACAAAGGUUUUUCUGUCUUAAAAAAAUAAUUAGAAUUUGUUUUUAUUGUGAAGAAACAAUAAUUUGGUAAAGGGACAAGAAGACCCUUUUGAUCUUAACUUUUUUUUAAAUUAAUGUUUAAAAUAAAGUUUGGUUGGGGCGACCGAGGAAGAAAAAAAUCUUCCUUUUUUAAAAUACUUAUGGUCCAAAAUUUUUGAUUAAUGGAUAAAGUUACCAAAGGGAUAACAGCGUUAUUUUUUUUGUGAGUUCUUAUUAAAAAAAAAGAUUGCGACCUCGAUGUUGACUUAUAAUUUCCUUUUGGUGCAGAAGCUAAAAUGGUAGGUCUGUUCGACCUUUAAAAUUUU
rnacentral:rRNA from 1 species